CUGCUAUAUUGCCCCCUGCUGGGCCACACUACUGUGCCUGUUGCACUUAUUCUGGGUUGGGCAACACUCUCCCUCUGGCUGUGCGGUUGAGCCCUGGGUUCUAUUGUACAUACUCUGAGGGUGAUCCCCUUCUUUAAUGGCCUAUGUAACAGAGCUCCCUGUACCCCUGGCUGGGUACCUCUGCAAAGGACCGCUUCCUAGCUGGAACAGGGGACAAACCGCAGCACUUCUGCCCACAGUCACCGUGGCUGGAGUGGGGUCCUGGAACCGAAUGGGGAACUCACUCUAGCAAUCCCCAGGCACUAGAGGACACUCAGUCCUGGGAGCUCUAGGCCUUAUAAGGACUUUCCCCUUAAAUCCUCCACACUGGAACAGUGAUUAGUCCUUUACCCUCUCAGUAACCAGAUGACACAUAGUUCUGUGAGUACAAGCUGGAAUGUUUUAAUCUGGCCAGAUGGCCUGCUUUUAUACAGUUUAGACACAGUCAAACAUGCCCAUAACACUCCCACACAAAACAGGAUAAUCCUUCCCCCUGUGCCUGAGAGGAGACCAGUUACAAGCAAACAUCUAACAUACUCCUCCCCUGUGCCUGAGAGAUAAUUACCUGAGCACAUCAACAUAUAAUUGAAUUAUCUCUCAGUACAGAAACAGGCAAUAUAACAAAACCCCCAAAACACAUGAAACACAUGAAAAUCCCACACAAGUCAAAUCCCCUGAUAGCGCAGAUCUGGGUGACCAACAUCAUAAUUUUGACGGACCGUGCACAUGGUCCUACGCCCAAAACAGUUUCAUGAAAUCAGUGCUAACGGUCGGUCAAGUUCGGUAGUUUAAAAACGAACAAACUACCAAACGGAAUCCAUAGUUCUACCCUGGAGCUUGUUCAUAGUGUUCGUGGGAACGUUUCCACGAACAGUGCCCUUCUAAGUUGCAUAGAACCGAACUCAGAUGACAAUGUCCGAUUUUAGUUCCAG